rnacentral:lncRNA from 1 species
CUUAACGGAAAUUUAUAAAUGAGUUUAUUAGCGUGUUAUAAAUUAAUAAAGGUGCGCAAAGUGAAUUCAGCAUGCAGAAAAUUCACGCGAUAAUACUAAGACAUUAAAUAGGACAUUUUUCAAAUGGAUCUGAGUAUCCUUGGGAGGUUGUCUUCUAGAUAUUUCAUUUCGCCCGCUGCUUUCUGACACUUGGCGUUAGUGCUACCAUCGAAAGAAACAAUUUCAGUUGUCACUUGGGACAUUACCGACCACAUCACGAACUAACAGCACGUUUCAAAUAUAGUGUUCUUCGCCAUUUUUCUCUCAAUUCCUCCUUGAUACAGAAUGGACACUUUUAUUGGCCUACUGUUGAUUAACGAGGCGCAUUUUCAACUUCUUUUUUUCGUAUAUAUAUAUUUAAUUAAUUUUUAUUAUAGAUUAAAAAAAAUUUAAUAAAUAUAUCUAAAAAUUUGGAGGAAUAAACAUGUCCCCUGUGAGCAAAUUAAACUUUUUCAAUGCUGGAAUCAAUUUGAUUGGCAAUUUUGAAUGAGGGAAAUCAAACAUAAACAGCCAAUUGGUUAGAACAACUAAUGAUUGUAGUAAAAAAAAUUAAACCAAUAUAAAAGUUUCCAAUAAGGAUGAAGAGUUUGCUUUUUUUGUAUAAUUAACCAUAACUUAAUAUUAUCAUUAAGUUAGGAUUGCUACAUUGGCAGCCUUCUUUAUAGCUCGCAUAUGUAUGGUAUUUUACUAUAAUUAUGGAUAUAAAUGAUCAGAAUGGUAUUUCUAUUCCAGGGACAUUAAUAAUCAUCAGACUCGAAUCAAGUUGAAUUUGUUCGGCAAAUUUUUGUACAUUAAAAAUUAUUUGAAAAUCCAUCCAAUUGGAAUUAAACCAAUACCUACCAAAAGAUUAUGACGAAAGCGGUAAAUGUUUUAUAUUGCAAUUGCAUCUUAAAAUAACUUGGGCAAUCGAAUCAUUCUUCAUCAUAUAAUGGAAUAUCAAAGCUAAUAUUCUGAUUAUAUACUAUAUCUUAUACUUCAUAUUAUAUUUACUUGAUUUUAAACCAACAUUUUAUUAAAUAGAAUAAAAGAUUGCCCAUAUUCUUAGAAUUGAUGUUCUUUAUAGAACAAUGUAAUAGAUAAUGUUGCUUAUUGAUAAAGCAUUUGCAGUAUAUUUUGUUUGUUUACAUAAUUUUCUCCUUUCUCUUUUAUUUUUGAUACUGGGAAGUAUGAGAGGGAGAGACAAUUAGGCAAAUUUUAUUAUAAAUUUAGUAUAAAAAUACAGAAUUUGUUCAAAAUAGAGUUUAAAAGAAAAAAAAUAUCAAUGAUAGGAUAUAAUUUUCUUUACUGGAAAUCCAUCGAGUGAUACAAAGUAAUUUGUAAGUCAAUGGUCAAGUCAGUGGUCAAUGGCAUAGUCUGCCAUCAAAAACACGCUUAAAAGGUCAGGCGAAAAUAGAUCCAGAAAGGCUUCAUUACCGAGUUAGGAUACAAAUCAAUUUUUGCCAUACCAGUCGAUGCAAGAGGAAAUAUUUAGAUGUAGGCUAUAUUUUUCUGAAGAUUACCUAUUUCUUCAAUAUCCGAUUUUCUUUAAUAUUCAGUGUGGUACGACACAGUUUUGAGAAAACCUAGCAUACAUCUAAAGAGUGCAUCCUACACAAAUAAUUUUUUGUCCAUAACUCGGUAAUAAAGCUUUUUUGGACCUAAUGUCAUCAGACAUUUUAUACCUAUUUUUGAUCAAAGAUAGGCCGGUUGAUUCGCACAAUCGACUGGCGCAUGACUGUGCGUAGUGGAUCAGUGAAAAGGAAAACGAGGAUGAAAGAACUUUCUCGAGCGAAACCAGAAGUCGAUGCCAGGGAAAUUCUUUUAACCGACCCCGGCAGAUAUUUCAUAUUCCUAGCAUAUCCGAAAACGAUAUCAAAACCUGGCCAAGGUAAUACCCUCUACAGACACAGAAACAUAAAGUACUUUACGUUAAGCGUUAAAGGACUUUAACAUAAAAGUACUUUUAAGGGGCCGGAUUGGCCGCGUGGAAACGCUUCGGCUUUCCACUCUGGAGGACCCGGGUU